rnacentral:rRNA from 1 species
AUACAGGGGGAUAACAGUUAGAAAUGACUGCUAAUACCGCAUAAGCGCACAGUGCUGCAUGGCACAGUGUGAAAAACUCCGGUGGUAUGAGAUGGACCCGCGUCUGAUUAGCUAGUUGGUGGGGUAACGGCCUACCAAGGCGACGAUCAGUAGCCGGCCUGAGAGGGUGAACGGCCACAUUGGGACUGAGACACGGCCCAAACUCCUACGGGAGGCAGCAUG